CUUUACGUGAUGAAGACUGUCUCCCCCUGUCUGGCCUCGCCUUUGGGUUGGAGGGAGUCACAAGGUCUGCCGUGCGGGUGAGUGUGUCUGGAUUGUAAAUGUGAAGAGAUGGUGUGAGUAGGCCAGCGCAGAGCAGCAAGCAGCAGCAGCAGGCGUAAUGCUGAUAGAUGAAAAUGGCCGCGCACAAAAUUGACCAGAGGAGUGUGUGACCCCCGGUGACCUUUCUUUCAUCAGGGUUAAGGGUCAGAUUGGGAACCAGCUCUCUGUGGAGAGAUUAAAACCUGGUCACCAAGGUAACAUUACGCACACCGCCAGGAAAAGGGUCACAUCGGUGGCUUUUGUAUUAUAUUACACAAUGAGUUCCCCUUGAAGAAGGAAACAUUUAUAUUUUGUCAUCCGUCUUCUGUACUUUUUACUAUGUUAAUUUUACCAAAUAAUAAAUGUUUGAACAAAAUGUCA